rnacentral:rRNA from 1 species
CACUCCUGCGGGAGGCAGCAGUGGGGAAUAUUGGACAAUGGGCGCAAGCCUGAUCCAGCCAUGCCGCGUGAGUGAUGAAGGCCCUAGGGUUGUAAAGCUCUUUCACCGGUGAAGAUAAUGACGGUAACCGGAGAAGAAGCCCCGGCUAACUUCGUGCCAGCAGCCGCGGUAAUACGAAGGGGGCUAGCGUUGUUCGGAUUUACUGGGCGUAAAGCGCACGUAGGCGGACUAUUAAGUCAGGGGUGAAAUCCCGGGGCUCAACCCCGGAACUGCCUUUGAUACUGGUAGUCUUGAGUUCGAGAGAGGUGAGUGGAAUUCCGAGUGUAGAGGUGAAAUUCGUAGAUAUUCGGAGGAACACCAGUGGCGAAGGCGGCUCACUGGCUCGAUACUGACGCUGAGGUGCGAAAGCGUGGGGAGCAAACAUGAUUAGAAACCCUAGUAGUCCCA